GUGCUCCUGCUUUGACAGCCCAUGUACUACAAUUGGAAGGGUACAGAGAAGAUCAGCCUAGCCCCAGGACAAGGAUGACAUGCAAAUGUGGGAAGCAUCUCAUGAUUUG